rnacentral:misc_RNA from 1 species
ACAUAAUAUGAAAAAUGACAAUUGACAUUUAUAGUUCAGUUUGAUUCUCAACAAUUCUCAAUUCCUACAAGAAAGAGAGUACUUUAAAAUCUUGGUUAAUUCAAUUAAUAUGAUACUGAAUAUUUGUUGCAAAUAAUCAUAAUUCCUGUGCCGUGUUUGCUGAAGUAAUUUUUUUUAUUGAACGAACAUUGAUCAGCUUUGCCGAAAAACAAGUUAAAAGAUUCCAGUCAUGACGUCGCAAGUAAUUCCUACUCCCCCAUCAGUAUCAUGGGCCCAAAGAAGUGCUCGCGUAUUUUUAACUUUUAACGUAGAAUGUAAAAAACCCGACAUUAAAAUUGAGAAACAAACAAUAUCCUUUAGAGGAAUAUGUGAACCAGAAAAAAAAUUACAUGAAGUAGUCAUACCAUUGUAUGCUGAAGUGGAUCCAGAAAAAA